rfam:Oribacterium sinus F0268 genomic scaffold SCAFFOLD2, whole genome shotgun sequence.
GGAACCUGUACAAGAUGCGGUGCAUCGAUGGUAAAAGA